GGGGGAAAACCCACUCUGAGAGAAGCUGAAUGGAUGGAGCCAGAGCCACGUCACUGGCAGCCGCAGCCAUGAAGAGCGCGCGCUCCAGCCUCGAGGCGAAUCACUCGCUCUCUGUCUCCCGAGACGAGCGCUUCUCGCUUUUGGAGUGCGGGAUCCCGCAGCGGCUCGCAAGCGACGGCGUCAGAUUUUGGCCCAUGUUGCUUUGCCUUGGGUUUGAAAGGAUGGGUAGCCUUAGGGGUUGAUUGUUAUCUUUGGUUAUCUAGCUGUAUGAGUGGUGUACAUUCUUCAUAAAGCUAGAUAACCGAAAGUAACAAGAAUCCCAUUACACUCCUGGAAAGGCAUCAAGACCCCAAACGCUCCUGACUUCAAAACAAAACACAAAAUCCAUGUGAAGAACCAGUAAAGGAAAGAAGAUGGACAACAUUUCAAAGGAGAUGGGAUCAUAAAUCAGAACAAGGUAAGACCCAAGUUGUCUCCGUUUGUUCUAGAUCUCUGGGAAGUUAUUUUUUUUCACUAACUACACAUUGACGUACUUUUUUGUGUAGUGAUUAAUCAUCAACUACAAAUAUUCUACAGUUUUAUGGCACCUAAGUCAAACAUUGUAUUACUUGCAACUCUCUACAGCCAGUGGCAGUAAUCCAUAAUAGUAAGGUUGGUACAACAGGAUCACUUUUAAUCUAAUUAGCCCCAUGAUCCCUGUAUGUGGAGCUGCAUGCAGGGGCUUAGAUUUAGUAUCACAUGGCUGUGAGGAAAAAAAAAAGAACACUGAUUUACCAAAGCAAGCAGAUUUUGACAACGUUGCAUCGGCACAUCCAGUCUUUUAGUUAGUUUGGCAAAUGUUUGUCUUUUGGCCAAGUAUUAGCUUGCAUCUUUGGCGUUAGGAGAACCUGUGUAAAGAAUGUGGACCUUUAUUAACAUAGGAGCUGUAUGCUGUGCAAUGAAUUAUACAUGUAUGCCUUAACUGAUUCAAUUGUGUGAUUUACAAACACUCCCUCCGGAUUAAUCUGGGGUCUCGUUUUGCUUGGAACCUAAGACAAGAAUUUGUUUGAGGCUAGUUUUGUUAAGUUAGCCAUUCUAGAUUUCCCCCCGUCCUUCCUAACUACUCCCUUUCACGCUUACGCCUGAAAAGAUGUUUGAUUUGGGGGUCCUAGCUGUUUGAUUUGACUUGUCAGUUGGCUUGGUUCUGAAUGGGUCGCGCUAAACCUUCUAUUCCAUGAGGUGCUACCAUGUGGAAAGACUUGAUGAGAUUUCGCUGAAUGCUGGUUUGUGUGGAUGCAAGGCUCAGAAAGGGGAGUGGUCCAGGGCCAAUCAAGCAGAAACUACCCCCGGUGACGAAGUCCACGAGUGAAAGAAGCGAACAAUCCGAGCCUUUCGGAUCUGUGCCAGGGCUCCUGGUGAGGAGUAAUUGGUCAAUCAGAUCUUCAACCUCAAGGCCUCUGAUGGCUGAUUGAAGGUGUGAUUUUUGUUCUGCCCAUCAAAGCUGAAGGGUCGCUCCAGCUGAGAGAGGCUGCCGAGAAUUGUUUACGAGGUCUCAAGGCUAUGUCACGACAAGCCUAGCAGUAAACCCCAACUGUAGGACAUAUUCCACUUACUGGUUUGCAGUUUCAACAUUGUUCAGCUAAACGAUCUCCUUGGUUUUGGAUAUAUUUAGCUUGACCUGGUACAAAUUUCAAACUGUUGUGGAGGGGCAAAGAGAAAUUUCUGUGUAAACCUUAGCUUGAAAUGUCAAUUUCUUCAAGUCCCACAGUUAAAUUGUGCCUUCCUGCUGCAUUGCAGGUGCUGAGUGUGACAUUUGAGCUCUGGGCUCAUCUAGUGAGGAACGAGGACCUUGACAGGAACUGACAACCAGAGAUGUCACUUUCUAGUAUGUCAGGGGACGUCACCAGUGUGGAAGAAACUGGCAAAAGAAGACUGAAAACAGGAAAGGAGGAGGAGGGGUUGCUGUUGAUUCUGCCCUCCCUCUCUUAUCGCCCUUUUCUGCAUCGCCUCUUACCUCCUCCUCCUCUUCUCUUUCUCCUCCACUCCAUCCUCAGCAGACUGCCCCCCCUUUUUUUUUCCUGUACAGCGAAAUGCAGCCCGCGCCACCAUCUUAGAGCUACACUGGCAUAAAAUGGAAGCAGGAAGACCAGUUUGUGCAGAUAAACACCGACGAUCAGGGGUGGGCUGCAGAAUGGACAGGACACACAAAGCGGGGACAGCGGGAAGCCUCUUCUGCCGACUGCUUGCUGCCAUUUAGAUGAAGUAAACAAGAGUGAAGCUGUUGUCUGCACACAACCUGAUGGGGAUUCUUGUUACGGCUGCGAGGCGCUGCAUCGUUUUACCCAGCAGUCAAACUGGAGCGGGAACAUCUCAUGGACUGCAGCUGUGGGAAUCUUUAACACAUUAUCAGCAGCUUUGUCAUAUGCACUAAUAUGUAUUUAUAUUUAAAUAUAUACACAUAUAUAAUUGUUUCAUUUACGUUUGUAAUUAUUAUUUUGCUGUAAACAAUAAGAUAUAACAUGUUACAAAUGAUCGUUAACCUAUAGGCUCCACUUAACUUUGAUUUGUUUUAAUUUGUAGCCCAACGUUUUUGUUCAGAUUCUGAUCCGUUAGAGUUGCCAGGACUCAAAAGACGCAUGAAUGUGAGACCCACGACAGCAGUGAAUUUGACUGCACUGCGAUUGGACGGCUCCGUGUGUCGGCUGACACAAUGGUGAAGGAGUGAGCUGUCGUCUUUAUACUCUAUGCAACUGUUCUGUCUCUUUUGCUUGAGCGGAGCCUUUUUCAUCUGUGUAAGGAUUUUUUUCUUUUGUUGGAUUUUUUGGGGGCUAAUCUUUUUUGUUUUUUUUGCAUUUGUUAAAUAUCAAAAUAAACAUUUUCUUUUUUUAAGGAGCCUACACUGUUCGUGUACAAAAAUACAGAGGAGUUUGAGUGUGUGUGUUCACUGUUGAUAGAUUGCAUCUCAUGUUUGCAGCCUUUGAUAGUACCGUGCUGUCAUAAAGAGAAUUUAAACCAAUGUAGACACAUAUUUAAUAAUCCUGAUGGCAGGAGUGUCUUUGAUCAGCAGGCCUGUGUACAGAAAAUGCCACACUAUUAAAAUAUGCUACCCAGCAUGCCUCCAGACACACCAGCUUGCUUCAUAACACUCACCUUGCUUCGACACGAUGAUACAUCUUUGGGUGAGACGCGACAAAUACAUUGGCUUCAAACACAGCCUUAAUUUCCUGUUAUUGACAUCAGCACACACACACACACACACACACACACACACACACACACAUUUAAAUGCAAUAAGACAAGUACUAUCACAGCCUAAUUCAUUCUUUAUUAAUUUUUGGGAAGUGGCAUUUUUUUAUUAUGAUUGAUAAUCUAUGCAAAUCUUUUAAAGUAUUACAUUAAACAGUCUAUGCAGAGCUUUUUGCAAUUGAUUCGAGGGAGACUAUCUUGGCCUAAUUUAGAAAAUGUAUUCUUUUGAUAAUCAUGCACAUCCCAGUGCUCAAGACAAUUACUUAUCUGCCUGGAUAAGCUUGAAAUUAUGUUUUUAAUCUUUUGCAAGAAAAAAAAAAGUCACUCUUCUGAUAUCAGUCCAAAGGCAUGAAAACCAUGAAUUUUGGUGUGUAAUAAUUAAAUCAGUGCCACAAAAUGUCGUUUUUUUUCAUGUAUAUCAAAUAUAUCUAUUUAACUUUGCUCAUUGGUCUAUGUUUGUAUUUAGCAACUUGAUUGCUAUGAAUAAGAGCUCACCACAUGUGCCUUUGUAUGCCAAACUGUGUUGGAAUAGUAAUAAAGGUUUACAUUGAAAACAAA